UAGCCUUACUUUCGAUGAGCAGACUAUUAUCACUGGUCAUCAGUACCAGUCAUGGCUCCAGGAUGCUUCCGACAUUCUGACGAGGGAAAAGAAGAGAAAGGGACUCCUUAGACCCAGCAUGUACGUUAAACGUCUGAAGCUCCCACCUACACAACUCUUUGAAGAGCAUGUGGACGGUUCUUACCCAUCUGAAACAACUCCACGCCCUGAUUUCCGCUGCAUACAUCACCGCAGUGCCACAAGCUCCCAAAAUGCUGGGAGACUUGGGGACACUCUUGCUGGUAAAGGUUUGAUGUCUGGAACUCG